AACGUAGGAGGCGAGCGUUAUCCGGAUUUACUGGGUGUAAAGCGCGAGCAGGCGGUUGAGCAAGUCAUGUGUGAAAGCGCCCAGGCUCAACCGGGCGAGGACAUGUGGAACGGCUCAACUAGAGGCAGGCAGAGGCAGAUGGAAUUCCGGGUGUAGUGGUGAAAUGCGUAGAGAUCCGGAGGAACACCAGUGGCGAAGGCGAUCUGCUGGGCCUGACCUGACGCUCAGACGCGAAAGCAUGGGGAGCGAA
rnacentral:rRNA from 1 species